rnacentral:tRNA from 1 species
GCGCCCCGGUCUCGAGUGUCAGAGAGCCGGGCUCUUCACCCGGUUGUCGUGGUUCAAGUCCACGGGGGCGCACCA